rnacentral:lncRNA from 1 species
AGCGAGCUGCCAGGCGGCGAGAACGCGCUGGGGGAACCCUUGGUCCGCUCUGCGCGUCGCUCUAGGAUCCCCGAAAAGGAGCACGGGCGCGAAAGCGGCCAGGCUGGGCCAGGAUCUAGAAAGACUGCCUGGCGCAGGCUCCCUGCCCCCGCGGGCCUGCUGUCAUGGACUCGUGGAGAGCUCGCUUCCCGCGCGGACCCUUCCUGCAGGGGUCCACGUCCAGGCACCGGCGGCUCGGACACCCCACCCCCGGCCGGGCACCUGCCCUGGGUGCCCCUUAACCCGGGCGGUAGCUCGUUAAGAUGGCGAAGUGUCCGGUCCGGAACACGCGAAACCCCAAAUCCCGCCUGCCCGACCUCCUGACCCCCGGCCCCACGGGACGACAGACUGGGCCUCCCGACGCGCAGCGCGCUGCCGGGACACCGGUGCGUGCGAAACGGAGGACCUUUGUAACGCCACGUGUUUGCUCUUUUUGAAAAAACAAGAAUAAAUGUGUUAAACUGUCUGAAAAGCUUGCCGCCUAAAAGAUGUCUGGGUGACUUAGAUGCUAGGAUCAGUUUGUUUUCAAUGUAAAUGGACCAGCCCGGACUCCGUACGGCACUAGCAGGGGACUGAAAGCGUCUUCAGGUACUGCUGGUGGGCGGUGAUGCGCUACAGGCCGAUCAGACAGUUUUGUGUCUUUUGGAACUUGACACUGCACCACGGUAAUGCUGAACUGCACCAAUAUUACAGAUCACAGCGCAUCAUCUUCCUUCAACAUGAUUUAACACAGUUGACUUAAUAUGGUGGAUAAAUGUAGAAUCACAAAUUACCAUACCCCACCUCAGGCUUCUACUUCGUAAUUUUGAGCAGGUUGUUUAACCUCUUUGUACCUCAGCUUCUUCAUUACAAAAAUAGGGGUACUAGCCAGGCGGGGUGGCUCGCGCCUGUAAUCCCAGCACUUGGGGAGGCCGAGGCAGCCGGAUCACUUGAGGUCAGAAGUUUCAGACCAGCCUGGUCAACAUGGGUGAAACGCCGGCUCUACCAAAAAUAUAAAAACUUAGCUGAGUGUGGUAGCGCAUGACUGUAAUCCCAGCAACUCAGGAGGCUGAGGCAGAGAAUCGCUUGAACCUGGGAGGCGGAGGUUGCAGUGAGCUGAGAUCGUACCACUGCACUCCAGCUUGGGCGACAGAGCGAGACUCUGCCUUAAAAAUAAAUAAAUAAUUUUUUUAAAAAAUAGGGGUACUAAUAUCUACCUUAAAGGAUGAGGGUUAAAUUAAGUACACACAUAAGCCCUAGCGCAGUGGCUUAUGCCUGUAAUCUCAACACUUUGGGAGUCUGUGGCGGGAGGAUCACUUGAGCCCAGGAGUUUGAGACUAGUCUGGGCAACAGAGACAUGUCUCUAUAGUUGUGUUUGGUUUUGUUUUUACCAGGUGUGGUGGUGUGCACCUGCAGUCCCAGCUACUAGGGAGGCUGAGGUGGGAGGACUGCCUGAGCCCAGGAGGUCGAGGCUGCAGUGAGCCAUGAUUGUGCCACUGCACUCCAGCCUGGGCAACACAGCAAGACCUUGUCUCAAAAACAAACAAAAAGCAUACUCAUAAAGUGCUCGGCUCCUAUAUGAUUCAAUAUGUGGUGGUGGAUUCUUGAAUCCUUUCCUGACUCAGAUCUCAUACGAUUUUCUGAACUUUUGGAGAAUCCUUGCCUCUCUGCAUUUGCAAACCGUCAAAGGCACUCCCUUCUGCCACCACACAAAGCAUUUGAUUUUAAACUUGACUAUGUCCUUCUGUUCCAACUUUAGGUAAAUUAAUCUUGGUCAGGGUUCUCUGAACAGCCCUUUAGUCACUAUGCCAUUGAAUACAUGGCCCUACAGCUGGAAACUGGGGUAGAACAGUGAUUGCAGGCAUCCAUCAUGUGACAGCGAGGCCCCAAAGAAGGGGAGAGAAUGCCACCACCACCAGUUUCAGAGAAUGCCUAUACACUGAGGGGACUGGUGUGUGGGAGAGAAGUUACUUGGAGAGCUACCAAGACAGCCUGAGCUACAGGAUCCUGGUCUACCACUGGUGGAUUCCCACCACUCUGGUUCUAAAAUAACUUCCUAAACUUGUGCUUCACAUACAGAAUAAAGCAUCUGUAAUUCCAUGGGAAGGUAAAUCUUUAUUCAAAUGAAAUGUUAUUUUAAAGAGUAAUAGCUGAUGGCACAGGCACUAGCCAACCCUGGGAAAGCCUCCCUGGAGUUGUGGCUCCUGGAGUCCCAGCAGCCACUCUGCAGAGAUCUUGGAGGUCCUAGUAAACCUGCCGGUGGCACUACAGGCAGGCUGCUUUUUUGGCAAGGGUGGCUUUGCUGAGAGCAUCAAAAUCUUGGAGGCAAACACCAAGGAGGUGUUCUCGGGCAAGAUCGCACCUGAGUCACUGCUGCUCAAUCCGCACCCAGAGGAGACGUCCCUGGAGACGUCUCCAGCCUCUCGCUAUACUCACUGCAGCCUCGCCCACCAGCACAUCUCAGGUGUCAGUGGCUUUUUCAAGGACAACUUCAUGCUCCUGGUGCUGGAGCUCUGCCACCUGAGACCUCUCAUGGAGUUGCACACGGGGAGAGCGCUAAGCCUGAGGGCACUACUGCCCGCAGUAGAUCAUCCUUGGCUGCCGGCACCUGCCUGAAACUGGAUUAGUCACCGGGACCUCAAGCUGUACCCCCUCUUCCUGAAUGAUGACCUGGAGGUGAAAACGGGAAGAUCUGGACUGGCAACCAAAGUCGAACAUGAUGGAAGGCAGAGGAAGACCCUGGGUGGGACUCCUGAUUAUGUAACUCCCAGGGUGCUGGGAAAGAAAGGGCACCGUUUCAAGGUGGAUGUGUGGUCCCUUGGGUACAUCACAUAUACCUUGUUAGUGGGCAAACCACCUUCUGAAACCUCUUGUCUAAGAGACCUACCUCUGGUCAAGAACACACACACUGUUCCCAAGCACAGCUACCCAAUGGCCACCUCCCUCAUCCAGAAGAUACUUCAAAUCCGACAGCACUCCCAAACCCCUGAGAAGCUGCUGAAUAACGGGUUUU